rnacentral:misc_RNA from 1 species
AAAGUCGUAACAAGGUCUCCGUAGGUGAACCUGCGGAGGGAUCAUUAUAGAAAACAUAACAACAACCAGGAGGAGGGGGUGAAGGGCUUUUUUGUUCUUUGCUCUCCUUUUCCUGGACAAACAACCAACACACAUGACUAGGAAAAGAAGCAUAGUGACAACAGGUUGUGGUGGAGUGGUUUGGCUGACUUGGAUCUCCCCACACAGGAAAAAAGGAAAAAGUUCUUGUCUGAUAAGUAGCUUGCUGAUUUGGGUUACUUACAAUUCAAUACAACUUUCAACAACGGAUCUCUUGGCUCUC